ACUCUGUUGUUAGGGAAGAACAAGUGCUAGUUGAAUAAGCUGGCACCUUGACGGUACCUAACCAGAAAGCCACGGCUAACUACGUGCCAGCAGCCGCGGUAAUACGUAGGUGGCAAGCGUUAUCCGGAAUUAUUGGGCGUAAAGCGCGCGCAGGUGGUUUCUUAAGUCUGAUGUGAAAGCCCACGGCUCAACCGUGGAGGGU
rnacentral:rRNA from 1 species